rnacentral:tRNA from 1 species
AAUAGGUUGGCAGACUAGUGCAAUUGACUUAGGAUCAAUGUAUGUAAUUACUUUACACCUAUU